GCCUCAGUGGUCGAGUUGGCUAAGACACCCGCACGGUAUGAGGGAGGUCCCAGGUUCGAACCCUGGCUGAGGUG